rnacentral:rRNA from 1 species
CAGUAGCCGCGGUAAUACGAAGGGGGCUAGCGUUGCUCGGAAUUACUGGGCGUAAAGGGAGCGUAGGCGGACAUUUAAGUCAGGGGUGAAAUCCCGGGGCUCAACCUCGGAAUUGCCUUUGAUACUGGGUGUCUUGAGUAUGAGAGAGGUAUGUGGAACUCCGAGUGUAGAGGUGAAAUUCGUAGAUAUUCGGAAGAACACCAGUGGCGAAGGCGACAUACUGGCUCAUUACUGACGCUGAGGCUCGAAAGCGUGGGGAGCAAACAGGAUUAGAUACCCCCGUAGUCCCUGUCUCUUAUAU